CCAAAGGCCCUCUUUAGGGCCACCAAUGUUACUUUUUUAUCAUUUU
rfam:Strongyloides papillosus strain LIN genome assembly, scaffold: SPAL_contig0002112